CUGAGCUGAGCGUCUGACGCGCUCCAGAUGACGCUCCGCGGCGCGUUACACACGCGGAACUUCACACAUUCAGGAAGCACACAAGGUCAACAUCAAACAUUAAAGUCAAAAACACAUUGUCUUCUGUCAGAAUCGUAUCUUUGGGCUCAGAUGACACACAAAGCAGAACAGUAGUGAGAUCUGCUUCUGGGAUACAGCACCACAGAGAUACAGUAAUAUUCACCAUAAACUCUGCUGUCACUAAACUACUGUAAAGUGAUCUUACAGAAGAAGAAGAGCACUAGAAGAGAAGAGUUCAAAACCACACAACAGACUAUACAGUAAACACAGUCAGUCAGUUACUGUAAAUACAGUAAUACAGCAUCCUCUGCUGAGUUACGGUAUUUCCAGCUGCUCACACAGAAUCUUCACUUGUCACACAGUUCCUGGAUUUGUGUGAGUUUUGAAUAAAAGAUGUAGAGUGCGAUCAUCUGAAAUAAAGCUGAGAUGUUCUCAGACG